rnacentral:lncRNA from 1 species
UCACAUAGAAACAAUUUCUAGUUCUAACUCAAAAGCUUAUUUUGCUUUGUUUUAAGCCACACUCGUGUGCACAAAAUAGAGAACCCAGCCAUGAAACACCACAUAUAUGAAGCUAAGAUACAGAGGAAUCCCCUUGUAUGAAGACAGAAGAGGAAAAAACACUACCAUUGAAUCACAAGUGUGCUCCCAUGUUCUUCCUCCGGGAAACAAAGACAAGACACCUUGGGCUGGCUGACAUGGAUUGAGGAUCAGAGUAUACUCCGGGGGUAGUCCUUUGAAGGGUAUCACCCUUCUCUUCUCUCCUGCAUUCAGGAACAAUUGCAAACUUUAACAUAACCCAGAAUUCCAGAAUUCAUUCUAGAGCAGCCCACACAGUGUCCUGAGGAGUCUCCUAUCCAGAAUCAGCUGUCCAAGAAACGUGGUCUCUUGUCCUGGGAGCUCCUGGAGAAGCCACAACUAGCAUACGGUCUCACUCGGUAAUUAACACAUUCAGCAUAUGAUGCCUACACUGGAUACUUGUUG